rnacentral:tmRNA from 1 species
CCUCUUUUUUCUGCGGCCGAGCCGGCCUAUAUUCCUUUUGCCGGCUCUCGCCGGCUAUGGCGAUAAAUGGCCAUCGAAAUAAGCCUUUCGGACCCGGGGGCAGUGCCCGGCGCCUCCACCCCAGCCCGCCGCGAGACGGGUUGGGGCGGGGGCGAAACAGGAUCGACGAGGGUGUAAAGGGUGUUCUUUCGCUCGGCAUGGUUCCGCCGAUAUCGGGCCGUUUUUAUAGUUGCCAACGACAACUAUGCUCCGGUUGCGGUUGCCGCGUAAGCGGUAACUAGACCGAAACAAAGCCCUGACGGGUAGCACCGGCAGGCGGGGUUCGGAGGCACCUGGCAACAGAAGCCUCCACU